rnacentral:rRNA from 1 species
CAGCAGUCGCCACGGGAAUACGUAGGGUGCAAGCGUUAAUCGGAAUUACUGGGCGUAAAGCGUGCGCAGGCGGUUCGCUAAGACAGAUGUGAAAUCCCCGGGCUUAACCUGGGAACUGCAUUUGUGACUGGCGGGCUAGAGUAUGGCAGAGGGGGGUAGAAUUCCACGUGUAGCAGUGAAAUGCGUAGAGAUGUGGAGGAAUACCGAUGGCGAAGGCAGCCCCCUGGGCCAAUACUGACGCUCAUGUACGAAAGCGUGGGGAGCAAACAGGAUUAGAUACCCCCGUAGUCCCUGUCUCUUAUAC